rnacentral:rRNA from 1 species
UACGGAGGGUGCGAGCGUUGUCCGGAAUCACUGGGCGUAAAGGGCGCGUAGGCGGCCUCUUAAGGGUGAGGUGAAAGUCCGGGGCUCAACCCCGGAUCGGCCGUGCCGACUGAGAGGCUGGAGCACUGUAGAGGCGAGUGGAAUUCCGGGUGUAGCGGUGGAAUGCGUAGAGAUCCGGAAGAACACCGGUGGCGAAGGCGGCUCGCUGGGCAGUGGCUGACGCUGAGGCGCGACAGCGUGGGGAGCAAACAGG